AGGCCUCGCGCCGUCGCGGUUGGCGAUCAGUCCGCGGUAAAGGGUUGAAAGGAAGUGUGGCCACUAUCACGCUGGGAUUGUAAACAUGUAAAGUGCCUUUAAUAACGGCUUUUAUUUAAAUAACCCAACCUGCAGUUUACAAGCACAUAACACCACAGGACUAAAUGCAACUUCACAAGGACCCUGGGUAGGCUAUUACACGCUCCCGUUGGGACUUGGCAGAGCCGAGCAGGAAGGCGGGGCUUCCCCCGUGAGGCUCCUCCCUCCCCCUGAGUGGAUACGGCUCCGGAUUGGACCGCGGUCCCGAAGGGGGCGUGGCCGGGGCGCAGGCCUGUUCCGGGGAGGCCCUCUCCGAUUUGAUGUUGAGGCCGAGCGGGGGAGAGGGAGACGAAGAGGGGUGAGCGGGCAGGGUCGCCGUGGCGACCUGCGUCGGGAAGGAACAGCCGCCACUCGACAUCCUGCAGUGGGUAGAUUCAACAGGCUGUCGAUCCGGUCCAGAUCCUGUCCGUCCAGCCUCUUCCGGUGCAGAGUCUGCCGGGCAGAGGAGCAGAGGGAGGCUUCACAACCACUAAAAACCUGCCUUAUGAACCAGUCACUGGCAUUGCACCAGCCUAUCA